rnacentral:rRNA from 1 species
UACGUAGGGUGCGAGCGUUGUCCGGAAUUAUUGGGCGUAAAGGGCUCGUAGGCGGUUUGUCGCGUCGGGAGUGAAAUCCACUGGCUUAACUGGUGGCUUGCUUUCGAUACGGGCAGACUGGAGGUAUGCAGGGGGAGAACGGAAUUCCUGGUGUAGCGGUGGAAUGCGCAGAUAUCAGGAGGAACACCUAUAGCGAAGGCAGCUUGCUGGGACGAUACUGACGCUAAGGCUCGAAAGCGUGGGGAGCGAACAGG